rnacentral:rRNA from 1 species
CGGACGGGUGAGUAACACGUGGAUAACCUACCUAUAAGACUGGGAUAACUUCGGGAAACCGGAGCUAAUACCGGAUAAUAUAUUGAACCGCAUGGUUCAAUGGUGAAAGACGGUUUUUGCUGUCGCUUAUAGAUGGAUCCGCGCCGCAUUAGCUAGUUGGUAAGGUAACGGCUUACCAAGGCAACGAUGCGUAGCCGACCUGAGAGGGUGAUCGGCCACGCUGGAACUGAGACACGGUCCAGACUCCUACGGGAGGCAGCAGAC